AUUGAACGCUGGCGGCAUGCCUUACACAUGCAAGUCGAACGGCAGCACGGGGCAACCUGGUGGCGAGUGGCGAACGGGUGAGUAAUGCAUCGGAACGUGCCAUUGAGUGGGGGAUAACGUAGCGAAAGUUGCGCUAAUACCGCAUAUUCUGUGAGCAGGAAAGCAGGGGACCGCAAGACCUUGCGCUGAUUGAGCGGCCGAUGUCAGAUUAGCUAGUUGGUGAGGUAAAGGCUCACCAAGGCGACGAUCUGUAGCGGGUCUGAGAGGAUGAUCCGCCACACUGGAACUGAGACACGGUCCAGACUCCUACGGGAGGCAGCAGUGGGGAAUUUUGGACAAUGGGGGCAACCCUGAUCCAGCCAUGCCGCGUGAGUGAAGAAGGCC
rnacentral:rRNA from 1 species